AAAAAUAAAAUAAGAUUCUUAGUAACAAUGUAAUAUCUGUUGCCUAGAGAUUCAUUUUAACUAGAGGUUGAAACUAGCAGGACUGGGUCCCAAAGAGGAAAGAACUCUACUUCUUCUGUAGCCAAGAAGGGGAUAGGGUCCUUACCAGCCCUAUCAGGACCAGGAGGAUUGAUCUUAGACACAGGGUGAAGUUAGAACCAGUCUAGGAACCAUGGCCAAGCUGAAGCCACAAGGUCAAGGUCAGACUGAAAAAUGGGCUGGGAAGAAGGAUCCUUGGACUCCAAGGAGGGAGCCAGGGAGUUCAUCAUUCAUGAGGUCAGGGAGUGGCGUUGGAUCAGAACCCAAAUCUGUAGCCAGAAACCAGGUGCCUGCCUGCAGUUUCCACCUACACACCCACCUGAGCCAGGUGCAGCCACUUCCCUGCCUGCACCUGCAUAGCCUGGGCUGGCGGGGCUCAGAGUCUGGUCCCACCCCACUUGGAAGCAAGCAGGAGCUUCCUGCCCAUGGGCAAACAUGUGGCUCAGACUCAAGUUCUCCUUGCUAUUCUUCUCGUGUCUGUGCCUGGCCAGUAUGGCCAUCUCUUGGACCAGCUGCGUCUCAUACUCCUGACCCCAACCCAGUCCAGGGCCUCACAUUUUGUCUUGACUUCUCCAGUGCCAGCCUCUUGCACUCUCCCUGUAACCCUGCAGUCCCAUCCCCACGUCAGGAAACAUGGUCAGACUCCAGUGCUGAAGGAAGAGAAUGGCAUUAAGGCCACGACUCAGGCAAUGUUAGAAAAAGAAGUCAACCCUUCAUUCAUUCCCUAGUAGUGUCAAUAACAAGUUAAUUCAAAACCUAAGAAGGCAAAGAGGUGGAGGAACCUAUUGGAGGUACAGAUUUUGUCACUCUUAGUCCCUGAGCAAAGAGCAAGGGACAGCCAAAAAAAUUUCUCUAGCGUUCUGAGACAUCAGCCUAUUUACCCAGAUCAUGUGUACACUUCUGAAGAGAGAGUUAUACAUAAAGAGAGUCUAUUCUCUUUCUUCAGCACGGGAAGUAUGUGCUCAAUCUGGGCAAGGGUUAACCACUUCAGGAGAUUAUAUCAAGCUUGGGUUUAACUUUUAAACAAGAUGCUAGAGGGCAUGUUUUAACUGUCAUGUUGCAUUGUGAAUUUAGAGUUUGGGUGUGGAAGACCGGCCUCUCUGCUUUAUAAUCUACACAGGUGUGCAGAGGACUUCAAAGCCUCGUUCUCGAAGGAGGUUACUGAGAAUUACCUCUGGGGAAGAAAGAAAGAAAUCCCACAGAACAGAUGCUGAGAGAAGCAAACUAAACUCUCCUGGAGUUGUUGCCUUUGCAUUCAUUUUAAAAUUUCAAAAUCUUUUUCUUGAGAUCUUCUUGCUCAAGAAUGGGGACUUUCCCAUUCCACAGUAUGAUUUCACAUUCAGAAAACCUCUAAUCUUUUCUGAAAGUGAUUCUAACAGAAAGUUGACCCAGGGAAAUUUUAGCAGCAUGUUAGGCUGCUGGGUAGAACCCAUUUUAGCUCUGUCUUCCAGCCUAGCACACUCCACAUUCUCAGACAUCACUUCUUGAGAGUGUACUAACCAUCAACUAUCAUUUCCUAAUGGAGAAGGUAAAAUGCGGUCACUUUAACAUUGAUUUCUCUUCUCUAACAGCAAUGAAAUAAGGUAGGCUGGAACUUGGAUGUGGCAUUGGCAGACCAGACAUCACCGUACAGACAACAAUAUCCUAUAGGACAGAAGAGCUUGAAAGUAAAAGAAACUUUGGUGUUUGAACAAACCACACAUUUGUCCUGGACCACCUGCCUAUCACUGAACUGUUACAUGAGAGAAAAAGAGAUUUCUCUCUUAUUUGAACAAUUGUAUUUUCAAGUCUUUUUGUUACAGCAGCAUAACUGAUACCCUAACCCUGACAAAUACAUUUCUUAAACAAAAGGAGGAAUGCUACUAUCAUACUUUAUGCUGGUCCAGUCUUACUUGGGGUGCAGUAUUCUCAUCUGUGAAUCACAUUUCAAGGGGCCUAAAGACAAAGUAGAGGUGUUCAGAUAAGAGCAACAUGAUUGGUGAGAAAUUCAAAGUUGAAGAAACCGGAACAGCAGAUUUAGAGUAAGUAGGAAUGCCACUUUCAAAUGUCUGAGGAAUUGGCCUGUGAAAGAAUGAUUCACUUUGUUCUGUGUAGUUUCAGUAGCUAGAAGUAUGGUUCAACGGGAAAACUGAUUUUGCUGAAGAGAAAGAUUUCUGGCUGUCAGGUCUGCAUAGAUAUUGGAGGCACUGAGUUCUCUGUUCAUGGAGAUGCUUUUAACAGAGCCUGGAUAAUAAUUUGGUUGGAUUUGUAACAACUAUGUGUCAUACAGGUAUGUUACAUAAAUUGCCUCAAAUUCUUAGAACAAUGCUGAUAAUUAUAUAUUUUAAUUUCCAUUUGAUAGAAAGGAAAUAUUAAUCUUAGACCAGUUAAAACUUCUCCAGUUAAUAGCAGGGUCCAGGUUUCUUUCUACAGACCACUGGUAAAGCUAAUUUACCAAAUGGCCUGAAAAUUUCUCUCAAAUCUGAAUUUGAUGAGUCCCCUAGAAAAUUGUGUUUUCUAAAUCUUUCCUUGAAUUCUGAAGUAUCUGAGCCAGCGACAUUUCCUGAAAUUGGUGUGCAUAAUCUCCCAAAUUUUAACCUCAUAGCCAGUUUGCUUUGGGCCCUCCUUUAUGUGUCAGAGAUUGCCAGCUGGUCACCAAACCAUUUUCUUUCCUUCUUGGCACAUCAUGAAAAUACAUUUUCUAGCUUCCCUUGAAGUGAAAUGUGAGCAAAAAUGAUGCCAGCCACUCCCAGACCGGCCCAUAGAAACCUCCCAUAUUCUUUCUUCUGCUGCUGCUGGAUAUUGACACAGGGGAUGACUUUGAAAGCUGAAUGUUGAAGAUGGCAGAACCUGUCUUUCAGCCUUGAUUCCUGAACAAGAUGUUGAACAGAUCCCAUGGUAAUCUGGAACUGCCCUGGACUGUGUAAGUGAGUGAGACAUAAACUCUUACUAUACUUGAGCCAUUUUACAUGUAACAGCAAUUAGCUUUCCUUACUUAAUGCUCUUUAUCCCCUGCUACUAAAUAGCAAGAGUUGUAACUCUAGGUCACAAGACUAUGUGAAUAGUCAUUAUAUUUGUCAACAACUCUAACAGGCUGAACUUUUUAUUCCUCAGUUAUUUAAAAUUGUGGUAAAAUACACAUAACAUAAAAUUUACCAUCUUACCCAUGUUAAGUAUACAGUUCAGUGGUAUUAUAUACAUUUGUAGUGCUAUAUGUUCAUCACCACCAUCCACCUCCAGAACUCUUUUCAUCUUGUAAAACUGAAACUCUGUGCCCAUUAAACAGUAACUCCAUUCCCUCCUCCGCACCAGCCUCUGGCAACCACCAUUCUACUUUCUGUUUCUAUGGUUUUGAUUAUUCUAAGUACCUCAUAUAAGUGGAAUGAUGCACUAUUUGUCUUUUUAUGCUGUUGGCUUAUUUCACUUAGCAUACUGUCCUCAAGGUUCAUCCAUGUGUCAGAAUUUCCUUCCUUUUUACAGCUGAAUAAUAUUCUAUUGUAUGUGUGUACCACAUUUGUUUUAUGUGUUCGUUCAUCAGUGGACACUUGGGUUGCUCCCACGUAUUAGCUAUUAUGAAUGAUAGAGUUUGGGUGUGUGUCGCCACCCAAAUCUCAUAUGGAAAUGUAAUUCUCAUAUUGGAAGUAGGGCUUGGUGGGAGGUGAUUGGAUCAUGGGGGUGGAUUUCUCAUGGAUGGUUUAUCACCAUCCCCCUUGGUACUGUCCUUGUGACAGUGAGUACGUUUUUGUGAGAUCUGAUCAUUUAAAAGUGUUUGGCACCUCCCCCGCUCCUUGCUUUUCUUUUUUUGCCAGAAAUGUGGCUGCUCCCUGUUUGUCUUCCACCAUGACUGGGAUCUUCUUGAGACCUCCCUGGAAGCAGAUGCUGCUAUGCUUCCUGCACAGCCUACAGAACCAAAGCCGAUGAAACCUCUUUUCUUACAAAUAACUGAGUCUUAGGUAUUUCUUUAUAGCAGUGCAAGAACAGCCUAAUACAAUGAACUAUGCUGCCAUAAACAUGGAUGUACAAAUAUUUAUUUGAGAUGCUAUUUUCCGUUCUUUUUGUUGUAUACUCAGAAGUAGAAUUGCUGGAUCAUAUGGCAAUUCUAUUUUUAAUUUUUUGAGGAACCUAGGCUAAACUUUUUGAAACUGCAUAUAUUGAACCAGUUUUAUUUUUACUAAAAAAGCAGAACUUUAAUACAAUCUAAUCUAUUUCUUCCA